AUAAGGUCCCAAAAUUAUGAUUAAGUGUGAAAGGAUGUGGAAAUUCCUUAACAGCCGGGAGGUUGGCUUAGAAGCAGCCAUCCUUUAAAGAUAGCGUAACAGCUCACCGGUCUAAUAGAGUUUCUGCGCCGAAGAUGUAACGGGGCUAAAAUCAUAUACCGAAUCUGUGGGUUUAUAAAAUUUUCGAAUUUUAUAAGCGGUAGCGGAACGUUCUGUAAGCCUGUGAAGGGAUACCCGUGAGGGAUCCUGGAGGUAUCAGAAGUGCGAAUGCUGACAUAAGUAACGAUAAAAGAAGUGAAAAACUUCUUCGCCGAAAAUCCAAGGGUUUCUGCGCAAGGUUAAUCCGCGCAGAGUUAGUCGGCACCUAAGGCGAGGGCGAAAGCCGUAGUCGAUGGAAAUAAGGUUAAUAUUCCUUAACCAGAUGGUAGUGACGGAUCUUGUAAGUUGUGUACUCUUAAUGGAUUGAGUAUGCCGCGAAAAGGUUCCAAGAAAUAGCUCCAUCAUUAGACCGUACCCUAAACCGACACAGGUGGAUUAAUAGAGUAUAUUUAGGCGCUUGAGAGAAUGAUGUUGAAGGAACUCGGCAAAAUGCUUCCGUAACUUCGGGAUAAGGAAGACCUGUUUUUAGGCAACUAGAGAUGGGUGGCACAAGCCAGGGAGAAGCGACUGUUUAUCAAAAACACAGGGCUCUGCUAACACGUAAGUGGAUGUAUAGGGUCUGACGCCUGCCCGGUGCUGGAAGGUUAAUGCGGUUGGUGCAAGCUAACUUCUGAAGCCCCAGUAAACGGCGGCCGUAACUAUAACGGUCCUAAGGUAGCGAAAUUCCUUGUCGGGUAAGUUCCGACCUGCAUGAAUGGCGUAACGAUUUCUCCGCUGUCUCCAACAUCAACUCAGUGAAAUUGAAUUCUCCGUGAAGAUGCGGAGUUCGCGUAGUUAGACGGAAAGACCCCGUGCACCUUUACUGCAACUUUACAUUGGUAUUAGGAAAAACAUAUUUAGUAUAGGAGGGAGACAUUGAAGCGAAGGCGUCAGCUUUUGUGGAGUCACCAGUGAAAUACCUCUUUUGUUUUUCUUGAUAUCUAACUGAUUGCCGUCAUCCGGCAUCAAGACAUUGUAUGGUGGGUAGUUUGACUGGGGCGGUCGCCUCCCAAAUAGUAACGGAGGCGUGCGAAGGUAGGCUCAGAACGGUCAGAAAUCGUUCGUAGAGUGCAAUGGCAUAAGCCUGCCUGACUGUGAGACUGACAAGUCGAGCAGAGACGAAAGUCGGUCAUAGUGAUCCGGUGGUUCUGAGUGGAAGGGCCAUCGCUCAACGGAUAAAAGGUACGCCGGGGAUAACAGGCUGAUACUGCCCAAGAGCUCAUAUCGACGGCAGUGUUUGGCACCUCGAUGUCGGCUCAUCACAUCCUGGG
rnacentral:rRNA from 1 species